AUGCAAGCUACAAAAUAUGAUCUAAUGAUGAUUUCUACCAACUACGUAGGUAUGGUUUCGUAGGUCUGAAACUAUUCUCACUUCUCAAUACUUUCAUAGACAUUGAUACGUGUACUUGGUUAGAAACUUUCAAAUCAAUUUAUGAAUUUUGUGUUUCUUGGAAAAGACCACAGAGUUUGUGAAAUUUGCAGGGAACAGAAAUCAUUGCGUCUUCUCUGACUUCGUUGUGUGGGCGGAGCUUACAUUUUAGUUGAGAACAGAAGAUCUCUUAUUUAAGGGAUGACCCAAGAAUAAAUCUGUGAGAUACGAGGAUAGGGAAUGCUGCAAAACGAGAGAACAAAGCCAAAAGAGAGGAACAUGUAUAAAGAAUAACUUGAGUGAGAGAAAAUAGGAGUUUUGAAAAAGGAAGGAAAGAGAAGAGCAGGAAAUGGAAAGGAGAUAAUUGGUUAAGUUGAUCUUGAACGGUCAGCAAAUAAAGCUAUCAAGAGUUGGAACCUCAACUUUGAAAGGAACAGAUUGGUGAAUUCAAUUGGUGACUGGCUGGAUUGGAAAUAAAUGAUGGUAAGCUCUAAAUGAUAUAUAUAUAUAUGGUCAUUCUGUAGGGAUAUGCGAGUUUGUUCUGCCUUAUACCCAACGAUGUUGAUUUUCAUCUGGCUAUUAGGGAUGAUUGGUGGCACUUAUGUUCCUUGCUACCUCUCUUUCUCUUGGUGGUAGAGUUUUUGGAACCAAUCUACUGAAAUACGGUGGGAGGAGCUUUUAAGUAAAAAAUAUGGGGGAUGGAAGAGUAAAGAAGAUGGGACAUUAGGAAUGAUUAUGUUUGGUUGUUAUUGAUGUCAUCUUUAUGCUGAGAGUGGCGGUUUUAUUUUGACUCUCUUGCUUUUGCAAGGUUAUACGCAUUUGAGGGUGGAAUAUCUUGGCAGGGGUGCUGUUGUAGUUGGUGUCUUUCAUGUUGGGAUUGUUGUCUCUCUUUUGUUGUGUUUUUUGUUUUUAUGUUUUAGCUUUAUCAUUGAUGUUGUUGCUAGGCUCUUAGUGUUUGUUUUGGGUGGUUGUUGGGUGAUUAUGUAUCCAUGAUGCCUGUUGGGUGAUUAAAUUAGGUACCUUUCAAUUAUAAUCUUGUCUUUUUUUCACUGUUAAACAAGUGGUUGAUAUUAUUAUUAUAAAUUUAGUUAAAGCAUUAUGAAUACUUCAUGCUGAAAAACAAUGUAAAAAUAUAACAGGUUUGCUAUUAUUGUAAAUUUCAUAUUAUUAUACAACUAUCUGAUAGCCAAUCACAUCCACUAUAUUAGUUCAAAUGCUUGAUGAGUGUUCCGUGUCUUAUCAUGACAUAUUAAUGGUUUGUAUAGUAGUUUUAUUGAAUGAACGACCUAGAGACUUUGAUCAUUCGAUUCAUCUAACUUGCACAUUAAUUUUGGAAAAUCCAAUGUCCAGUGAUAUGGUAUUUUUGAAAAUACAAGCACCUAGAUAACAGAUUAUGGAUAAACUAGAACCCUUAAUUUUAAAAUUGGAUAUCAUAUAUACUUUUACUUUUAUCUCUUAAGAGUACUGAUAGAUUUUUCAUUUGAUAUAAUUUCUCUAUAAAAUGCCUUAAGGAUGAAUAUCUCACCUGUUUAAGUUUGAUGUGCUGCUUUCUCCAAAUUGUAUGUAGCAGAUUAGGAAAGAGAAUAAUGUCUUGUGUAGUUGCUUAUUUUUUUUGUUCUUUUAAUUUUGUAGAUAAUACCUCGUACAAGAUAGAAAAUUGGAUGGAGCCCAGGAGAAAAAGUAGUGACCUAAAUAUAACCAUAUCAUGUCUAUUAGAGUUACCUAUAUCGUUUAUUUUUUAAUUUCUUACAGUUUUCCUAUAUGAUGAUCUGAUAUACUUUAUUUAAUUCUGUGUGGGUUAAGAUGAUAUCAUUCUUCUCGACAAAGACUAAGGAUCAAAUUACGCAAUUGAAGCUCUAACUCAGUAGCCUCACUAAGUUGGCGGAGAAUUUUAAAAUACACACCAGCUUCAAAAUUCAACAGAAAAUGAUUUUUCCAAGGCCAUCUUAGCCAGUGGUGCAUCAACAUGUGGAUCCAUGGGAAUCAGUAACCAACAUGAAGGUUGCAAUUCAUAUAAAGCCCUGCUAAUCAUGUUUGAUUAAUUUUGGAAUAACUUGUUUGAUUAUUCCUUUUGAUUGAUAUUGACAUUAAGCACACUGGUAAUUUUUAAUAGCACUGGAAGUGUUGGAACCGAAAUUUGUCCAAUGCUAAAUACAUGCAAUAUUAAUUUUGAGUGGUUGGAGUCUUUCUUUUCUCACUUUAAGCACUAAGCUUGAUUUGAUGUGCAUGCAUUAAGUGCAAAAAAUCAUUCACUUUUGUAUUUUAUUACAUUAAAUG